rnacentral:rRNA from 1 species
UAGAGUUUGAUCCUGGCUCAGGACGAACGCUGGCGGCGUGCUUAACACAUGCAAGUCAAGGGGGCCCAGCAAUGGGCAACCGGCGAACGGGUGCGUAACACGUGAGCAACCUACCGAACUGUGGGGGAUAGCCGGCCUAACGGCCGAGUAAUACCGCAUACGCUUUCAUUGAGGCAUUUCAGUGAAAGGAAACCUACGGGACAGAUCGAGGGGCUCGCGGCCUAUCAGCUAGUUGGCGAGGUAACGGCUCACCAAGGCGACGACGGGUAGCUGGUCUGAGAGGAUGGCCAGCCACAUUGGGACUGAGAUACGGCCCAGACUCCUACGGGAGGCAGCAGUGGGGAAUCUUGCGCAAUGGCCUAACGGCUGACGCAGCGACGCCGCGUGUGGGAUGAAGCUCUUCGGAGUGUAAACCACUGUUGCCCGGGACGAAUAGCUCGAUUAAUCGAGCCUGACGGUACCGGGUGAGGAAGCACCGGCUAACUCCGUGCCAGCAGCCGCGGUAAUACGGGGGGUGCGAGCGUUGUCCGGAAUCACUGGGCGUAAAGGGCGCGUAGGUGGUUUGAUAAGGGUGUGGUGAAAGUCCGGGGCUCAACCCCGGAUCUGCCGUGCCGACUGUCAAACUCGAGGGCUGUAGAGGCAGACGGAAUUCCGGGUGUAGCGGUGGAAUGCGUAGAGAUCCGGAGGAAGACCGGUGGCGAAGGCGGUCUGCUGGGCAGUUUCUGACACUGAUGCGCGACAGCGUGGGAGCAAACAGGAUUAGAUACCCUGGUAGUCACGCCGUAAACGAUGGGUACUAGUGCCUG